rnacentral:lncRNA from 1 species
GGUGCUGUCCCUUGCUUGAGCUCUAUUUCAAACUCCACAUUACGGUCAGGUGGCAGACCAGGUAAAUAUUCUGGAAACACAUCAGGAAACUCACAGACCACUGGAAUGUCCUUGAUUUCCUUGACAGAGGUAGCACAUACUUGCUCAAUUGCUCUCUUACAGGUAGGAAGAUGGAUAAGAAGUUGAGACUUGCUAUUAGGUAAGUUGACCUUGAUGGUUCUAUUUAAGGUGUCU